CCUACGGGUGGCAGCAGUGAGGAAUAUUGGUCAAUGGCCGGAAGGCUGAACCAGCCAUGCCGCGUGAAGGUCAGUGCCCUAUGGGCGUUAAACUUCUUUUGUCGGGGAGCAAGGGCGGGGACGUGUCCCGGCCCGGCGAGUACCCGGAGAAAAAGCAUCGGCUAACUCCGUGCCAGCAGCCGCGGUAAUACGGAGGAUGCGAGCGUUAUCCGGAUUUAUUGGGUUUAAAGGGUGCGUAGGCGGGCUUUUAAGUCAGCGGUAAAAAUUCGGGGCUCAACCCCGUCCGGCCGUUGAAACUGGGGGCCUUGAGUGGGCGAGAAGAAGGCGGAAUGCGUGGUGUAGCGGUGAAAUGCAUAGAUAUCACGCAGAACCCCGAUUGCGAAGGCAGCCUUCCGGCGCCCUACUGACGCUGAGGCACGAAAGUGCGGGGAUCGAACAGGAUUAGAUACCCGGGUAGUC
rnacentral:rRNA from 1 species